rnacentral:lncRNA from 1 species
GUGAAUUUAUAUUUCUCAAACUUCAGCAGUGAUCAUAUGAUAACAUACUUGCUUGUAUCCUCUGCUGUCUACAGUGGGUUGCUGUGAAAGAUGUACAGCUAAUCUUGGUGAUCUAACCAUACAUCUUACUGUUUAUGUAUCCCAAGUUCCCAACAGACACAUCAGUGGGUAUGGUAAUGUUACUGGGGUUGGUGUUGGUCAUUCCACCAUCUGAAGAAAAAACACAUGCAAACCUCAGUGGUUGUUGCAUCUGGACCUGGGGGCUGCUGCUGGGGUGUUCUUCUCCAUCCUGUCAUCGCCGCCGCAGUUUUGGCGCACAAUGUCGUAGGCGUCGCCGGUCCUGACCUCCUGGGCAAGGGAGCAGGGGCAGCAGCACCAUCAAGCAGGUCUCUUGUGAAAUAACAAGCAACUAAUAUAUCUGGCCAGCUAAUUAUGUAACAAUUAACUAUAACUAGCUAGCAUUUGCAAAUAUUUCCACAUGUAUCCACAUUUUUACAAAUUAUAGCAAUUUUUUUACUACUAACUUCUUUUUAUUUUAAAAUUUCCUUCCAUUUUCUUUAUUUGUGUCGUUUUUUAUCAAUACUGCCUAACUAGUACGCAUCAAUUGACAUAUCUAUACAAACUAGAAUGUUAUAUCCUCUAGUCAUCCUCUUCUCUAUUGUCCUCUCCUCUAGCACUCUCAAUCAUAAAAAGCAUUCACACAUAUCCUCUCACACUUAUCCAUAGAAAUUUCUAUAUCGAUUUCCAUAUCAUCCGAUAUCAAAAUUUAUCACUCAGUCAUAUGUUUUCAUAUCAUCUGAUAAAUAUAUAUUUUUGACCUGAUAUCAUCCGAUAAAUAUUAACCUAGCUACUAUAUAACUCAUACAUAUGUUUUCAUAUCAUCCCAUACAAAAACAGAAUUAGUUGAAGAUCAUGCCAAGCUAGCGCGGUUGUUCUCAUUUGGAGGGGGAGACGUGUUGGUGGUGGAGGAGUGGGGCACCGUCAAGAUUUCGGUCGAAUGCGGCGUAGCGCCGGUGGGGAGGAGCUAGUGGGGUUUCCAAUAGGGAAUCGGAGACGGUGAGGAGAGGCAUGGCAGUGGGAAUUAGGAGGCCACCUUGCGGGGGCGGGGGAGGUGGAGGCGGCAAGCAUUAGGUUAUAGACGAGCUGCCGUGGUCGUAUGUGAUCUAUCGUUUGUAGGGGAGAUUGAAAGUGUCAGUGAUUUGCCAAGUGUUUCUGGC